AUGGCUCAGAACGAACGCUGGUAGCGUGGAUUAGGCAUGCAAGUCGAACGGGAUCAGCCGGUUAGCAAUAAUUGGCUGUGAGAGUGGCGGAUUGGGGAGGAACACGUGAGCAACCUGCCCUUGAGUUGGGGAAAACCGUUGGAAACGACGGCUAAUACCGGAUGUGGCGCCCGGAGACAUCUUCGGAGCGCUAAAGGGGGCCGCAAGGCUCCCGCUCGAGGAGGGGCUCGCGCACCAUCAGCUUGUUGGCGGGGUAACGGCCCACCAAGGCAUACGGUUAGCUGGUCUGAGAGGAUGACCAGCCCCACUGGGACUGAGAUACUGCCCAGACUCCUACGGGAGGCUGCAGUCGAGGAUCAUUUGCAAUGGGCGAAAGCCUGACAAUGCGACGCUGCGUGGAAGGAUGAAGGCCUUCGGGUUGUAAACUCCUGUCAUGAGGGAACAGGCGAGGGUACCCAAUACGUACCUUAGUUGAGUGUACUUCAAGAGGAAGGGACGGCUAACUCUGUGCCAGCCGCGGC
rnacentral:rRNA from 1 species